UGAUUCCUAUCACACUGAAGCCUUACUGGAAUUCAGCUUUAAAGUAAAUUAUUGAGAAAAUUGGGAUCUGAUAAAUGAAUAUGAGAGGUUGCUUAUUUCUUUAUAUUUCCAAGCUCCACAGAUCAGAAGACUACUUUUCCUGAAAAGUUAUCCCGCAGAUAUCAAAUCAAGUUAAAGGUACUACCCAUCUUACAAGAAGCAAGAUAAUGCAGUGAAUGGAGUCCUCUGGGUUUAACUCCUGGAUCUGUAAUUUUCUGGUGACCAACCUGACUAGACAGCCGCUCCACCCUCCCUGUGCCACUCAGACUCUUCCUGAAGUUCCAGAAGCUUGGUGCCUGUGAAAACAACAACCUUCUCAAAGACACAAUGAUCAUAUCUGGGUCAAAGGUAAUUUUCUCUGGCUUAUUAAAUAUGUUAAUGCA